rnacentral:rRNA from 1 species
UACGGGAGGCAGCAGUGGGGAAUAUUGGACAAUGGGNGAAAGUCUGAUCCAGCAAUGCCGCGUGUGUGAAGAAGGCCUUCGGGUUGUAAAGCACUUUCAAUAGNGAGGAAAAGUUA